rnacentral:rRNA from 1 species
GAUGAACGCUGGCGGCGUGCCUAAUACAUGCAAGUCGAGCGAAUGGAUUGAGAGCUUGCUCUUAUGAAGUUAGCGGCGGACGGGUGAGUAACACGUGGGUAACCUGCCCAUAAGACUGGGAUAACUCCGGGAAACCGGGGCUAAUACCGGAUAACAUUUUGAACCGCAUGGUUCGAAAUUGAAAGGCGGCUUCGGCUGUCACUUAUGGAUGGACCCGCGUCGCAUUAGCUAGUUGGUGAGGUAACGGCUCACCAAGGCAACGAUGCGUAGCCGACCUGGGGGGGUGGUCGGCCACACUGGGACUGAGACACGGCCCAGACUCCUACGGGAGGCAGCAGUAGGGAAUCUUCCGCAAUGGACGAAAGUCUGACGGAGCAACGCCGCGUGAGUGAUGAAGGCUUUCGGGUCGUAAAACUCUGUUGUUAGGGAAGAACAAGUGCUAGUUGAAUAAGCUGGCACCUUGACGGUACCUAACCAGAAAGCCACGGCUAACUACGUGCCAGCAGCCGCCGUAA